CCCAUACAGCUGGCAGGUCAAAUAAAAAGGAUUUCUGCUCUGGAGAUUAAAGGCAAACAAACAAACAAGGAGGAAAGAAAAAGAGAUAAGAGAAGGUAAAAUUAUGGAUUUGUGUAUUUGCCAGGACUUGUUCAGGAUACAAAGCAAAGUAGAAACACAAAAGCAAUUUAUGCUUUGAAUGACAAGGAUGAGCUGUUAUUUUCUAAGGAUUUAUCGUGUUCAAAAUCCGAUUUUUUCAUAGUUUUGGAUACAUUUCUGAUCUAAAAUACUGAUACAAUUAUGUUUAGGGUAUGAUAUGAAUUGUUUUCUGUGAUGCUGACCAGCUGUGACACUGUUUCCUUGGAACAACAUGGGUGUUUAUUGCUGGAAAAUGAGAUUUUUUCAGGGAAAAAUUAAAUACCAGCUUGUGUGAACUUCUGAGGCUUAAAUUACAGGACUUUUUCUGCAUCCAACACUUUCUGCCACUGACAAGGGGUUUCCCAGACUGAACUUUCUCCCUAACAAGAAAAAACGCUUUUUGCAAGAGAAAAACCAAAAAAUCCAAAAACCAGGCAGAGAAAUUCCUAUUUUGAAUUUUUAGCUGCUAUUUCACUAGAUUUACUGAAUAAAUGACUUUUAUUUUGA